UACGUAGGGGGCGAGCGUUGUCCGGAAUGACUGGGCGUAAAGGGCGUGUAGGCGGUUCUUUAAGUUUGGAGUGAAAGUCCUGCAUUUAAUGUGGGAAUUGCUUUGAAUACUGGAGAACUUGAGUGCGGAAGAGGUAAGUGGAAUUCCCAGUGUAGUGGUGAAAUGCGUAGAGAUUGGGAGGAACACCAGUGGCGAAGGCGACUUACUGGGCCGUAACUGACGCUGAGGCGCGAAAGCACGGGGAGCAAAC
rnacentral:rRNA from 1 species